AGCAGGAUCAUUAUCGUAGAGACUGAAAUAAUUCUCAAAUACACCAAAAAUCAAGUCUCCUGCGGCGGAUCUCAAAAUUCACUGCACGUGAGCAACACUGCCGCGCGAACCAACGUUUUGUGCAAAUGGAACGAAGUCGCGCGGCCGGGCCAACUCUAGGUCCACCCCACGGAUACAACGCUCGACGAUGGAUAUCUUGGUUCAGAGCUCGAUGAAGGUCGCAGCGAAUUGCGAUAAAUGUCACGACUUGCAGAUAUUUGGGAGCUGACAAGUUACUGAAUGCAAAUGGCGGUCGGUUCAACCCGGCCAUGUAUUGCAGAGUGUUGUAGAUUCUCUGUCACCCUCGCGCUCCUCUCCUUCAAAGUAACAUUUGAGGAAAAGCGUUGAGCGGAUCUGGGGUCGUGUGUGAAAGCGUGAUGUUUGCGGGAGCACGAGCAAUCGGGCGAUCGCACCGCCACGCGGUUCACCACAACCCUCAAAUGAAUCCAACAAAAAUGAAGAACGCGAUUCUUGUGUUUUUAUACGAGCCGCAAUUCGCCUCACGGCAUUCGCCAAACUCAUACGAAACGCACAAGCCAGCCGUGUUCAAACAAAUUCAUUUUACCAACACCAACCUCUGCAAUGCAGGAAGACCCGCUGAACUUAAGCAUAUCAAUAAGCGGAGGAAAAGAAAACAACAGUGAUUCCCUUAGUAACGGCGAGUGAACAGGGAACAGCCUAAGCUUGAAUCCACGGAGACUGGGAACCCGGUCCUGCGGAAUUGUAGUGCUAGGAGCUUUGGGCAAGUGUGUGUGAGUGCAGCCAAGAUGAUCUGAGAAGUUCCAUCCAUUGAGGGCUACGGUCCCGUUGGCGCUGCACGCCGCGCAUGCAACAACGCCCAGGGAAUCCACGAGUCGCACAGUUUGGGAUUGCUGUGCAAAUACGCUGGUGUUCUUCAGCGAAGGCUAAAUAUGGCUCUGAGACCGACAGCGAACAAGUAGUGUGAACGAAAGAUGAAAAGAACUUUGAAAAGAGAGUUAAAAGGACUUGAAAUCGUCGGGCGAUAAGGGCAUGGGACCCCUCGCUCACGUUGUGCGCAAGCGCGACGUGUGACAGGCACGCUUGGCCCGUUCCGAGCCGCCGCGUCAGCUUUCCCGCCUGCGGGUUGGGGGAGUGGCGCGGUAGAUUAGCCGGGAGACGGGGCGAGCGGAAAGAAGCAGCGGAAAACCCUGGGGAACGACGCUUCGUUGGGGAGUUGGAUGGUUGCGAAAAGAGCAGCGGUUUCUUCGGGGGCCGUUCUCUAGCGUGACUGUUUGGCGCAACGCGGGGCGGGCGAACUGGGGCGUGCAAGCCUGUCGUUGAAAGGAUCUCAUACCACCCGUCUUGAAACACGGACCGAGGAGUCUACCGAAUGUGCGAGUGUUAUGGUGAGUGAAACCAGAGCCGGGCAACCGGCGGACGACGCGUAAUGAAAGUGACCUUUCGAUCUGUGAUCCCCCCGGCGCCGAGGUUCCGGUAGGGGUGCAACAGAGCUCGAUCCGGAUCAUACUUGAAAAGGAUUUGAAGUGAAGCACAUUCGCUGGGACCCGAAAGAUGGCGAGCUUUUCCCAGGCCGGCUGAAGCCAGGGGAAACCUUGGUGGAGGGCCGUACGCAGUACUGACGUGCAAAUCGUUUGCCAGAUCUGGGUAAAGGGGCGCAAGACUCAUCGAGCUAUCUAGUAGCUGGUUCCCAC
rnacentral:misc_RNA from 1 species